GAGUUUGAUCCUGGCUCAGAACGAACGCUGGCGGCGUGCUUAACACAUGCAAGUCGAACGUGAUCCGGAGCUUGCUCCGGUGAAAGUGGCGCACGGGUGAGUAACGCGUGGAUAACCUGCCCUGGUAUCUGGGAUAACAUCUCGAAAGGGGUGCUAAUACCGGAUAAGCCUACGGAUUCUUCGGAGUCUGCAGGAAAAGGUGGCCUCUAUUUAUAAGCUACCGUAUCAUGAUGGGUCCGCGUACCAUUAGCUAGUUGGUGGGGUAAUGGCCUACCAAGGCGACGAUGGUUAGCUGGUCUGAGAGGAUGAUCAGCCACACUGGAACUGAGACMCGGUCCAGACUCCUWCGGGAGGCAGCAGUGGGGAAUUUUGCGCAAUGGGGGAAACCCUGACGCAGCAACGCCGCGUGAGUGAAGAAGGCCUUUGGGUCGUAAAGCUCUGUCAACCGGGAAGAAGUUAUUGUUAUCUAAUAGGUGGCAGUAUKGACGGUACCGGUGAAGGAAGCAUCGGCUAGCUCCGUGCCAGCAGCCGCGGUAAUAC
rnacentral:rRNA from 1 species